rnacentral:rRNA from 1 species
AACGUAGGGGACGAGCGUUAUCCGGAUUUACUGGGCGUAAAGCGCCCGUAGGCGGCUAAGUAAGUUGGACGUGAAAGCUCCUGGCUUAACUGGGAGAGGCCGUUCAAAACUGUUUGGCUAGAGUGAGGCAGAGGAGCGCGGAAUUCCCGGUGUAGUGGUGGAAUGCGUAGAUAUCGGGAGGAACACCAGUGGCGAAAGCGGCGCUCUGGGCCUAAACUGACGCUGAGGGGCGAAAGCGUGGGGAGCGAACGGGAUUAGAAACCCCCGUAGUCC